rnacentral:tRNA from 1 species
GGACCGGUUAGCUCAGUCAGUUGAGCGUAGCGCUAGCAACGUUGAGGUUGCAGGUUUGAUUCCUGUUCAGUCCC